rnacentral:rRNA from 1 species
GAUGAACGCUGGCGGCGUGCUUAACACAUGCAAGUCGAACGGUGAAGGCGGAGCUUGCUCUGCUGGAUCAGUGGCGAACGGGUGAGUAACACGUGAGCAAUCUGCCCCUGACUCUGGGAUAAGCGCUGGAAACGGCGUCUAAUACUGGAUACGAGCUGCGAAGGCAUCUUCAGCAGCUGGAAAGAAUUUCGGUCAGGGAUGAGCUCGCGGCCUAUCAGCUUGUUGGUGAGGUAAUGGCUCACCAAGGCGUCGACGGGUAGCCGGCCUGAGAGGGUGACCGGCCACACUGGGACUGAGACACGGCCCAGACUCCUACGGGAGGCAGCAGUGGGGAAUAUUGCACAAUGGGCGCAAGCCUGAUGCAGCAACGCCGCGUGAGGGACGACGGCCUUCGGGUUGUAAACCUCUUUUAGCAGGGAAGAAGCGAAAGUGACGGUACCUGCAGAAAAAGCGCCGGCUAACUACGUG